rnacentral:lncRNA from 1 species
CCUUAGAAUUUCUUAAGAGUUCUUGGCUACUUACUUAUUUUGUUGAAGGCUGAUUUCUUUCCUAUGAUAGAUUAUAAUGCUUUACUUUUUUGUGGAGGGUUGAUUUCUUCCUUGUAAAGAUAAGAGAUUCCUAAACAAAUAGGACCCUUAGAGUCCUAUAUAAAUCCUUGUAUCUUUCAUGAAAAAAAACAAUGAAUGAUUUUACAAACUCCACAAAUACUUGUGUCAAUCGCUCCGAAAGGGAGAGGGUGUGAGACCCAAAAUCACCCCACAAGGAGAGGGUGUGAGGCCCACUUUCUAUCCUAUUCCUUCUACUUAAGAUUCAGUAUUCCUGCGACUC